rnacentral:rRNA from 1 species
UACGGAGGGUGCAAGCGUUAAUCGGAAUUACUGGGCGUAAAGCGCACGCAGGCGGUCUGUCAAGUCGGAUGUGAAAUCCCCGGGCUCAACCUGGGAACUGCAUUCGAAACUGGCAGGCUAGAGUCUUGCAGAGGGGGGUAGAAUUCCAGGUGUAGCGGUGAAAUGCGUAGAGAUCUGGAGGAAUACCGGUGGCGAAGGCGGCCCCCUGGACAAAGACUGACGCUCAGGUGCGAAAGCGUGGGGAGCAAACAGG